GGUGGUGCAUGGUUGUCGUCAGCUCGUGUCGUGAGAUGUUGGUUAAGUCCCGCAACGAGCGCAACCCCUAUUGUUAGUUGCCAUCAUUCAGUUGGGCACUCUAGCGAGACUGCCGGUAAUAAACCGGAGGAAGGUGGGGAUGACGUCAAAUCAUCAUGCCCCUUAUGACCUGGGCUACACACGUGCUACAAUGGUUGGUACAACGAGCUGCGAGUCGGUGACGGCGAGCUAAUCUCUUAAAGCCAAUCUCAGUUCGGAUUGUAGGCUGCAACUCGCCUACAUGAAGUCGGAAUCGCUAGUAAUCGCGGAUCAGCACGCCGCGGUGAAUACGUUCCCGGGCCUU
rnacentral:rRNA from 1 species